rnacentral:rRNA from 1 species
AACGAACGCUGGCGGCAGGCCUAACACAUGCAAGUCGAACGCCCUAGCAAUAGGGAGUGGCAGACGGGUGAGUAACACGUGGGAACGUGCCCUUCGGUUCGGAAUAACUCAGGGAAACUUGAGCUAAUACCGGAUACGUGCGAGAGCAGAAAGAUUUAUCGCCGAAGGAUCGGCCCGCGUCCGAUUAGCUAGUUGGUGAGGUAAUGGCUCACCAAGGCGACGAUCGGUAGCUGGUCUGAGAGGAUGACCAGCCACACUGGGACUGAGACACGGCCCAGACUCCUACGGGAGGCAGCAGUGGGGAAUAUUGGACAAUGGGCGCAAGCCUGAUCCAGCCAUGCCGCGUGAGUGAUGAAGGCCCUAGGGUUGUAAAGCUCUUUCGCCAGGGACGAUAAUGACGGUACCUGGAUAAGAAGCCCCGGCUAACUUCGUGCCAGCCGCCGCCGUAA